UUGUCUUUCUCCCUCCUCUCUCUGUCUGUUUGUCUGUCUCCCUCCUCUCUCUGUUUGUUUGUCUGUCUCUCUCCUCUCUCUGUCUGUCUAUCUGUCUCCCUCCUCUCUCUGUAGGUCUGUCUCCCUCCUCUCUCUGUCUGUAGGUCUGUCUCCCUCCUCUCUCUGUCUGUAGGUCUGUCUCCCUCCUCUCUCUGCCUGUUUGUCUGUCUCCCUCCUCUCUCUGUUUGUUUGUCUGUCUCCCUCCUCUCUCUGUCUGUCUAUCUGUCUCCCUCCUCUCUCUGUCUGUCUAUCUGUCUCCCUCCUCUCUCUGUCUGUAGGUCUGUCUCCCUCCUCUCUCUGUCUGUAGGUCUGUCUCCCUCCUCUCUCUGUCUGUAGGUCUGUCUCCCUCCUCUCUCUGCCUGUUUGUCUGUCUCCCUCCUCUCUCUGUUUGUUUGUCUGUCUCCCUCCUCUCUCUGUCUGUCUAUCUGUCUCCCUCCUCUCUCUGUCUGUCUAUCUGUCUCCCUCCUCUCUCUGUCUGUAGGUCUGUCUCCCUCCUCUCUCUGUCUGUAGGUCUGUCUCCCUCCUCUCUCUGCCUGUUUGUCUGUCUCCCUCCUCUCUCUGUUUGUCUGUCUCCCUCCUCUCUCUGUCUGUCUAUCUGUCUCCCUCCUCUCUCUGUCUGUCUAUCUGUCUCCCUCCUCUCUCUGUCUGUCUAUCUGUCUCCCUCCUCUCUCUGUCUGUAGGUCUGUCUCCCUCCUUCCUUUGUCUGUCAAUCUGUCUCCCUCCUCUCUCUGUCUGUCUAUCUGUCUCCCUCCUCUCUCUGUCUGUCUAUCUGUCUCCCUCCUCUCUCUGUCUGUUUGUCUGUCUCCCUCCUCUCUGUCUGUAGGUCUGUCUCCCUCCUCUCUCUGCCUGUUUGUCUGUCUCCCUCCUCUCUCUGUCUGUUUGUCUGUCUCCCUCCUCUCUCUGUUUGUUUGUCUGUCUCCCUCCUCUCUCUGUAUGUUUGUCUGUCUCCCUCCUCUCUCUGUUUGUUUGUCUGUCUCUCUCCUCUCUCUGUCUGUUUGUCUGUCUCCCUCCUCUCUCAGUCUGUCUGUCUGUCUCCCUCCUCUCUCAGUCUGUAGGUCUGUUUCCCUCCUUCCUCUGUCUGUUUGUCUGUCUCCCUCCUCUCUCUGUUUGUUUGUCUGUCUCCCUCCUCUCUCUGUUUGUUUGUCUGUCUCUCUCCUCUCUCUGUCUGUUUGUCUGUCUCCCUCCUCUCUCAGUCUGUAGGUCUGUCUCCCUCCUUCCUCUGUCUGUAGGUCUGUCUCCCUCCUUCCUCUGUCUGUAGGUCUGUCUCCCUCCUCUCUCUGUCUGUCUAUCUGUCUCCCUCCUCUCUCUGUCUGUCUAUCUGUCUCCCUCCUCUCUCUGUCUGUAGGUCUGUCUCCCUCCUUCCUCUGUCUGUCAAUCUGUCUCCCUCCUCUCUCUGUCUGUCUAUCUGUCUCCCUCCUCUCUCUGUCUGUCUAUCUGUCUCCCUCCUCUCUCUGUCUGUCUCCCUCCUCUCUCUGUCUGUUUGUCUGUCUCCCUCCUCUCUCUGUCUGUAGGUCUGUCUCUCUCCUCUCUCUGUCUGUUUGUCUGUCUCUCUCCUCUCUCUGUCUGUUUGUCUGUCUCCCUCCUUCCUCUGUCUGUUUGUCUGUCUCCCUCCUCUCUCUGUUUGUUUGUCUGUCUCCCUCCUCUCUCUGUUUGUUUGUCUGUCUCCCUCCUCUCUCUGUCUGUUUGUCUGUCUCCCUCCUCUCUCUGUUUGUUUGUCUGUCUCCCUCCUCUCUCUGUUUGUUUGUCUGUCUCUCUCCUCUCUCUGUCUGUUUGUCUGCCUCCCUCCUCUCUCUGUUUGUUUGUCUGUCUCUCUCCUCUCUCUGUCUGUUUGUCUGUCUCCCUCCUCUCUCUGUCUGUAGGUCUGUCUCUCUCCUCUCUCUGUCUGUUUGUCUGUCUCUCUCCUCUCUCUGUCUGUUUGUCUGUCUCCCUCCUUCCUCUGUCUGUUUGUCUGUCUCCCUCCUCUCUCUGUUUGUUUGUCUGUCUCCCUCCUCUCUCUGUUUGUUUGUCUGUCUCCCUCCUCUCUCUGUCUGUUUGUCUGUCUCCCUCCUCUCUCUGUUUGUUUGUCUGUCUCCCUCCUCUCUCUGU